rnacentral:rRNA from 1 species
UGGGGAAUUUUGGACAAUGGGCGCAAGCCUGAUGGAGCGACGCCGCGUGGGGGAUGAAUGGCUUCGGCCCGUAAACCCCUGUCAUUUGCGAUCAAAUGUCGUUGUUUAAGAGAUGACGGCCUGAUAGUAGCGAAAGAGGAAGGGACGGCUAACUCUGUGCCAGCAGCCGCGGUAAUACAGAGGUCCCAAGCGUUGUUCGGAUUCACUGGGCGUAAAGGGUGCGUAGGUGGCGGAGUAAGUCGGAUGUGAAAUCUCCGAGCUCAACUCGGAAAUGGCAUUGGAAACUACUCUGCUUGAGGGUUGGAGGGGGGACUGGAAUACUUGGUGUAGCAGUGAAAUGCGUAGAUAUCAAGUGGAACACCAGUGGCGAAGGCGAGUCCCUGGACAACUCCUGACACUGAGGCACGAAAGCUAGGGGAGCAAACAGG